UGAGGCUCCGGAGCCGCGGGUUGCCGACUGCUGGUCUAGACGAUGAACUGGUGUUCUACUCUCUCCAGCCAGUGUCUCCAGUCCUCCAGGGCCACGUUGAAUAUCGGCAGCUCACAAUCGCCGACGUCAUACUUCCACUACACCCUGGUCAGUCACAGUAACAAGGGAGGCACAGGUGUGCAUCUUCCCAUCCUGCUCCCACCGGUUGGAGAGAACUGUCGCGAUCGCAACAAUGGAUGCAUCCACCUCCGUCACAAAUUGCCACUGAGAAUUCAGGAUUGUGAGGAUCGAUGGCAUGGUGAGUCGGUUCUUGAGGCUUUGGAUGGCAGCCUUUAGUGACCGGGAGAAUCACACUUUCGACGACAUGAGUACAUAUUAAUGAGCCACUACUGUGCUCAUCAGUGCUAUUCAAGAGCACUGAUCGUAGACAUCAUUAAUAGGACACUCCUCUUUGAACCAUGUUCCAACAACCAAGGAGGGCAAAAUAUCCGGUCCAUUCCAAUUUUGUGGACAACACAGUUGGAAACCAAAAUAACAAGGAUGCCUGAACAUUGUGCUGCGUCGUACAACUACAAAGUUAUUCCAAACUGGGAAUAACGUUUCUUAGGUUUGAGGUUCACAGCUAUGGAGUCAAGCAGGAGGGAGCAAGGCUGGAGAAAGGGCUAAAGAAACUUGACGGGACUCGAGUCGAGUUCAUCAUCCAUUUGCGGACUCUGAUUCCCACUCGGCGGUAUUGUGUAUCGUAUCACGGUAUUUUCGGGAAACAGAGUACGAGUGCAGACAUCGGGUAUCGGCACAGAUAGUGAUACUGUCAUAUACCAGCGGCAUGGAGGCGGACCCAAAUGCAGGACUUCCAGGCAAAGGCAUAAUGUUCAGAGUGGUUUUAUUCCAAGAACAGGUCAAUACCAAAAGGCAGUGCAAAACGUCACCAUAACGCUAGGCUAGGCAAGAUCCAAAAAACGUGAAACAAGGUCAGAUGACUAUGAGGCAAAGUAAGAAGCAUAACCAGACGUGAUCAAACUAAAAGGGCAUAGACUCGCUGUGACAAAGGAUUGCGUAACGGAGUUUCCCAGAAUACAGGGAAGCAUGCGCAACCAACUGGCAAACGCCGAUGACACAUUUACCGCUUAAGUACUGAGUUCAUUAGUGUCCCAAAUGUGACACAGCUGUGACAGCUGUCCGAGGUGGCACCGCCCAGAGUAGCGGCCUGGCCACGCCCCUCACAGGAAGCGCCGCCCACGGCAGUUGCCAGACCACGCCCGUGACACCCUCUCCUGGCAUAAUCAAACAAAGCAAAAGAAAAACUUUUACAUGCAUGUAAAGGUUUAAUUGCAAGUAAAUUGAUUAGUGAGGCCUGGAGAGUGGAACGCUCAAAUGAUAUUCAUUUCUUCUUUUUUUUUUUUAAUGUCCAUCCUGCUACGUAGCCAUAUCAGGUAUACUGUAUGUUAGUUGAAAUGUACUGUACAUGGAAAUGGUGUGUCUAAAAAAACAACAUUAAUUUGUAAUCGGGUACUUGGACCUUCACUAUAAAUCCCUCGUAAAAUAAGUUCAUUGUAGCUUAGUGCACGAUGACAUAAAUUCUGCUUUGUUUUAAGGAUCAGAAAAUGAUUGCGCAUACAUACUCUGGCGGACUAUAAAACGCACUUGUGCGUGCUCAGGUGUGUGCGCACGUGUACAGUAUUUGUCUAAGGGUGCGAGUGUAUGUGCGUUUUGAUUGACAGCUGCCACUGACCCAUGCCAGUCAGAGUGCCAUGCUGUGGGGCGACAGGGUCGAUCGCUACGGAGAUGACCUUCGCCCUCAUCUGCAUCCCGCCUUCAUUAGCGGAGCCAGGCAAGGAGAAUAACAACCCAAUAAAUUAAUAAAGAGAAAGCAGUAGAGGAGGGAGGGGGCAGAGGGCUUGGGGUGGUGGUAGCUGACAUGAGAGGAGGGGAAGGGAGAGUCAGGUAAAGGGGGGGCUGUGAGGAGGGUGGGGAGCGGAGGCCAGGGAGGACAGAGAAAAAGAGCAGUGAAGUAUGGAGGGCUGCGAAUGAGGAGGUGAAAGCGCUGUGGCUGAGUUGGUGUGUUCGGUGAAAGUGAAAAAUAAACGAAGGGGUGCUUGAAGAUGAUGGACUGAGGAGCUUGAGUGCGGCAGACUUACUAGAUCUAAAAAAAAAAAAAAACUUUCCAACACUUUAGCUUUUACUCGACCUUCAAAAGAAACUAAACAUUUUCCACUGAGAUCAAUUAUAUCUGGAAUAUUUACAUGCCAGAGUCCAAACUGUCAUCAUCAUAAAUAUGAACUAAACACAGACAAAAUGAAUUUGGAUGAAAUUAUUUUUUGUAAAACUUCACACUUAAUCUUCACACACUCUUAUUACACAGGUAAUAAUUGAUAUAACUUUAUAAGAGCAACUUGACAAGAUUUUUCUCCGAAACGACAAUUAGAGCGAUUGGAAAGUCUGUUUUAAAUGGCCACCUUAACCAGAGUAUAACGCACCAAGAAUUUCGAAAAUCAGAUGAUUUACAUUUUUAUUUUUUUCCCAUGGCCUUUUGGGAAAAGCUUUUGUGUGGUAUUUAUAGCCUAUUGAAAAUUUGUUUUUAAAAAAAAACAUCAAAUAAGAGUAAAACUGUAUAAAUUAUUUCUAUUUCUAUUUAAAGCUGGUACUGUGUCUUGAGUAGCUGGUACAGAAUAUAUAGAAGAUUACAUAAAAUUCAGUAAUCAUGCCUAGGACUUCCAUUGUCCGUCGGUCUCUUCAUGUCUUUCUAAUUGCAUUAAAGGUAACGCCAUGGUUUACUCAAGAUAUACCAAACAUAUCCCUGAAUGGUGUGAGUAGUAUUACGCAAAGCAAAUACAUACACGUCAAUACAUGAAUUUGAUGUGGACCGAAAGUCUCAUAUUAGCUCAACGUUAGUUCAUGCUCAUUCUUUCUCCAAAACUAGAAUCACUGCAUUUUACUCACAGCAACAAGCAAAGAAAACUACAUCAGCACAGCAUUCUAGUUUUAUUGGUGACUUUUCCAAUUGUGGCUUUAAUUCAGAUGCAUUUCCUGAGUGCUCCCAAAGUUUGUAAAAUAGUAAUCAAUUAUUUUGUCAUGAAUUUAUUCACGGAGGAUUGAUGACAGAUGUUUGCACUGCACAUUCCAUGUUGCUCCAAAAUUUCAACCAAGAUGGUGCCCACUUGUCACAUUGCUUAUUUUAACAUUCAAAACUGUCAUGUGUUAAAAUGCCGUACUAAAAACAAUCAGCUUGAGCAAGAAGUUGAUGGAAGAGUUGACGUCCGCACUGCAGUGAUUAAACAGAUGGACUCAAAUGUGCCACAACAUUCAGACAAAACCUAAAUCAGAUCCUGGAUUUGUUUACAAAAAGUUGGUCUUCAGAGGCCAAGCAAGACCAAUGAGAAUGCAACAAAAAGAGCAAUGCAAAAAAUGGCUACAAUAAAACAAGUGACGGAGCUAAAUGCCUUAAAUGAAGCAACACAUCUUCUGAGUCAUCUACGGGUUGUACUGUGACCCCUGCCAAACACAGGACAAGAAAAAAACAAAACAAAAACCAAAAUAUACACAAAGUUGAUCCUUGAUGUCAGUAUUUUGCGGUCCAUAAUUUGCACGACAUUUAAACCAAAUGUGGCCAAAUAAUUCUGGCCAUAGUUCCCAUUUUAAAAGCUUUCCGGCAUUCAACUUGGACACCAACCCUGUACUGUUCAGACUCCACCUGGUGUGAACUCCGGCAGCUACUCCAGCAUGCUGGCAACGCAGCCAACAUGUUAAUAAAAAAUGAGGUUUAAUCAUCUAUUGUUUCCAAUACUUGUUGUUCAUAAGCAGACGGCAAAAACAGAGGGAGGAAACACAUCCGAUCCGGUGGUAAAACACACACACACACACACACGCCUCGUAAAUAAAUAAAUGAUGACCAAGUAUGUUCCACAGGAUAGACUGUUGGUUGGCGGCUCUUUCCAGGAGCAACCUUGAAAUGAGUAAUGACGCAUUCUCAUCCUGCGGCUCAGUUCCACACUACAUGCUUCCUACUAUGAUUACCCACUCAACUUUAUUUAUAUCACUUUAAAAACAACCUCAGAUGUAAUAACGUGCUGUGCAUACUUAAGCACCAAUAUAAAACAAAACUAUUAUUUGAUUACUCAAUUUUCUUAAAUAGUGCCUAUCCUUAUAAUAGACCACAUGCAACGCGUAUGCUUGUCUACUUUACUACUUUAGAAAAAUAAAUGCCUCAAUUUUCCACGGAGAAAAAAAAAAAGAAAUUAUGUCAGGUUGUAUACAUUAUUGUUCACACUCAGAUGUUUAACAGCUCAGCCCGCUGAUUCAAAAAAACUGCCGGCUGCAAUUUUUUUUUUUUUUGUCAAAGGGUCGCGUUAGUGCUGGAGCUUAUCGCAGUUGUCAACGGACAGGAGGCAGGGUACACCCUGAACUGGUUGCCA